rnacentral:rRNA from 1 species
AGCGAACGCUGGCGGCAGGCCUAACACAUGCAAGUCGAACGAACUCUUCGGAGUUAGUGGCGGACGGGUGAGUCACACGUGGGAACGUGCCUUUUGGUUCGGAAUAACUCAGGGAAACUUGUGCUAAUACCGAAUGUGCCCUUCGGGGGAAAGAUUUAUCGCCAUUAGAGCGGCCCGCGUCUGAUUAGCUAGUUGGUGAGGUAACGGCUCACCACGGCGACGAUCAGUAGCUGGUCUGAGAGGAUGACCAGCCACACUGGGACUGAGACGCGGCCCAGACUCCUACGGGAGGCAGCAGUGGGGAAUCUUGCGCAAUGGGCGAAAGCCUGACGCAGCCAUGCCGCGUGAAUGAUGAAGGUCUUAGGAUUGUAAAAUUCUUUCACCGGGGACGAUAAUGACGGUACCCGGAGAAGAAGCCCCGGCUAACUUCGUG